GAUGAGCUCAAGCUUAAAAUCUCCAUACAAAUUUUGUAUGGCGAAUUGUAGUCUAUAGAAGCGUGGUCAGUAUGAGUGCUUGGGGUAAGUUCCUUGGAAGAGGACAGCAUCGAGGGUGAUACUCCCGUUUUUCCCCGAGUGUCUUGUGCGUACGACCCGUUUUCUUUGAGUCGCGUUGUUUGGGAAUGCAGCGCAAAGUAGGUGGUAAAUUCCAUCUAAAGCUAAAUAUUGGUGCGAGACCGAUAGCAUACAAGUACCGUGAGGGAAAGAUGAAAAGAACUUUGAAAAGAGAGUUAAAGAGUACCUGAAACUGCUGAAAGGGAACCGAAUCGUUUCCAGUGUCUAUAAUCUGUGGCAUAUUUCAUUGGCGAGUGUGUGCGUGCGUGAGCUAUGGCAGCGGCUUUUUGUUGCGCUUGGCCUGUGUGUGUGCGUGCUUGCUGGUGCCCUGUGCUGCGGUGGGACGUCAAUGUCAGUUCGUAUACUGCGGGAAAUGGCUGCUGAGGAGGUAGGGCUUACGCUUGCGUUUGUCUGUUAUAUCUUGGCGGCUUGUAGUCGCGGUUGGGACUGAGGUGUCUACAACGUGCUUUUGAGUGUGACUGUGUCUCCGUGUGCGCCRUGUGUGGAUAGCUUGCUAUGUACGUGUGGUAGUGUGUGGAUGGAUACGGGCUGUAACUUGUUGCCCGUU
rnacentral:rRNA from 1 species